GAUGAACGCUGGCGGCGUGCCUAAUACAUGCAAGUCGAGCGAACAGACGAGGAGCUUGCUCCUCUGACGUUAGCGGCGGACGGGUGAGUAACACGUGGAUAACCUACCUAUAAGACUGGGAUAACUUCGGGAAACCGAAACUAAUACCGGAUAAUAUAUUGAACCGCAUGGUUCAAUAGUUAAAGACGGUUUUGCUGUCACUUAUCGAGGUAUGCGCGCCGCAUGAGAUAGUUGGUAAGGUAACGGCAUACCAAGGCAACGAUGCGUAGCCGACCUGAGAGGGGGAUCGGCCACCCUGGAACUGAGACACGGUCCAGACUCGUACGGGAGGGAGCGGUAGGGAAUCGUACGCAAGGGGAGAAAGCUUGACGGAGCAACGCCGCGUGAGUGAUGAAGGUCUUCGGAUAGUAAAACUCUGUUACUAGGGAAGAACGAAUGUGUAAGUAACUAUGAACGUGUUGACGGUACCUAAUCAGAAAGCCACGGCUAACUACGUG
rnacentral:rRNA from 1 species